AAGACGAGAAGACCCUGUGGAGCUUUAGACACCAGGCAGAUCACGUCAAGCAACCUUGAAUUAACAAGUAAAAACGCAGUGACCCCUAGCCCAUAUGUCUUUGGUUGGGGCGACCGCGGGGGAAAAUUAAGCCCCCAUGUGGACUGGGGGCACUGCCCCCACAGCCGAGAGCUACAGCUCUAAGCACCAGAAUAUCUGACCAAAUAUGAUCCGGCAAACGCCGAUCAACGGACCGAGUUACCCUAGGGAUAACAGCGCAAUC
rnacentral:rRNA from 1 species